AGUGAACGCUGGCGGUAGGCCUAACACAUGCAAGUCGAACGGCAGCACAGUAAGAGCUUGCUCUUACGGGUGGCGAGUGGCGGACGGGUGAGGAAUACAUCGGAAUCUACUUUUUCGUGGGGGAUAACGUAGGGAAACUUACGCUAAUACCGCAUACGACCUACGGGUGAAAGCAGGGGAUCUUCGGACCUUGCGCGAUUGAAUGAGCCGAUGUCGGAUUAGCUAGUUGGCGGGGUAAAGGCCCACCAAGGCGACGAUCCGUAGCUGGUCUGAGAGGAUGAUCAGCCACACUGGAAGUGAGACACGGUCCAGACUCCUACGGGAGGCAGCAGUGGGGAAUAUUGGACAGUGGGCGCGAGCCUGAUCCAGCCAUACCGCGUGGGUGAAGAAGGCCUUCGGGUUGUAAAGACCUUUUGUUGGGAAAGAAAAGCAGCAGGUUAAUACCCCGCUGUUCUGACGGUACCCAGAGAAUAAGCACCGGCUAACUUCGUG
rnacentral:rRNA from 1 species